AAAAAAAACAAAACAAAACAAAAACAACAACACAUAAAACUUCGUUGCUGGCCAGUAUGCUAAUAGGAUCAGAGAAAGAACUCCUUUAAAUCCACAGAAUAAAGGGAUACAUGGAGACCUGGCUAAUAGAAAAGGAUGAUGAAACCUAAGAUAAGUCCUCCUUCUGAAUACCCACUACCUACAUCUUAAUCCAUUACUGCAACUGCCUAAUUCAGUAAAAUUGCACAAACAGAAAUAGUCUAUCAUACACACUUUAGCUAAGCAUCAUGAGAGUACAUAAUAAGGAAGAGUGAUAUUAAACUAUCAUUACUAUGAAAGUGAAAUGUUGGAAUUAGAGAGAAUGGAAGGGCCUGGCUAAAUAUUGACGAGCAACAGAGCAAUGAGAGAAGCAGAUAUCAGCACCUUUUCCAACAGACAGACUUACUUUCCUUCCCAGAAACUAACAAUGUAUCUCAUGCAAGAUGAUUCUUGAAGACACUUUGGGAAGAUGAAUGUCCCUAUAUAGUAUGGGCAGGGUCUCCGAGGCGUUAACUUCUGUAGAAGCUUGGGAAAUAUGGGGAACAGCUAGGUUCUGAUUGUAAUAUUUCUGUGUUGGGAAAAUUGUACCCAGUUUUGACAAAGAAGAGAAAAGGCUGAAAAUGAAAUCCUACCAGAGGAUGCUAGGGCAGAGAAUCUGCUGCUACCGGGUCUCAUCUUUCAUUGCAGAGCUGUCAUCUUGCAAUGCUUGAGUUUUCCAAACGUAGGUUGAAUCUCUAUAAAGCUCUCUGUCAACAGAGAAGUGGGAGAAAGCAAAGUUAUGGAGGAGGAUUUCUGAAGUCUUCCAGAAAGUGAUGCUGCUAACUUUGCAAGCUUGAGACUCGCCUCCAGGAAUUUCUUUGAGACUGA